rnacentral:rRNA from 1 species
UACGUAGGGGGCUAGCGUUGUCCGGAUUUAUUGGGCGUAAAGAGCGUGUAGGCGGCCAGGUAGGUCUGCUGUGAAAACCCGAGGCUCAACCUCAUAAGAGCAGUGGAAACUACAUGGCUAGAGUGCGUUCGGGGCAGAGGGAAUUCCUGGUGUAGUGGUGAAAUGCGUAGAUAUCGAGAGGAACACCUGCGGCGAAGGCGGGUAGCUGGGCCGACACUGACGCUGAGGCGCGAAAGCCAGGGGAGCGAACGGG